rnacentral:lncRNA from 1 species
UAGGAACUUUAAUCUCCAAUUUCUUGAAGAUUUCAAUGAAGCACUUAAAUUUCUUUUCUUUCCUAUGAUAUUUCUUUUGAUGAGGAAGAGGUUUUGCAUAUGAUAUUUUCUUCUUUCCUCUCUUCCUCUUUUUCUUAAUCUCCUCCCUCAACUUUCUUUUUUUCUCUUUUCUUCUUUUCUUCUUUAUUUUCACAUAUUUUUUCUCUUUUCUCAACCACUGUUUUUUCUCCCUCAUCAUCGUUAUCUUCCUCAACCAACUUUUCUGUUUCUAUUUCCUCCAUCUUUUCCUCAUCUAUCUCUAUCUCUUUUUCCUCUAUCUUCUCCUCCUUUCUCUCCAUAUUUUUCUCCUCUAUCUUCUCCUCCUUUUUCUCCAUUUUUUCUCCUCUAUCUUUUCCUCAUCUAUCUCUAUAUCUUUUUCCUUUAUCUUCUCAUCAACAACCUUAUCACUUUUAGAGAUAGUGGCUUGGCACUCCUCCCUAGGGUUAACUUCAGUACUAACCCUAGAAUCAUUCAAAGAUGCAGUCACGCAAUCUAAUUCUAUCUCCUUCCUUUUACAUCUUGCGUCAUCAUAUUCUGAAA